AUCAGUUUGGUUUGCUUGCAAACCAAAGCUGGCGACCGGCGCACGGGUGAGUAACACGUAUCCAACCUGCCUCAUACUCGGGGAUAGCCCUUCGAAAGAAAGAUUAAUAUCCGAUAGCAUAUAUUUCCCGCAUGGGUUUUAUAUUAAAGAAAUUCGGUAUGAGAUGGGGAUGCGUUCCAUUAGUUUGUUGGGGGGGUAACGGCCCACCAAGACUACGAUGGAUAGGGGUUCUGAGAGGAAGGUCCCCCACAUUGGAACUGAGACACGGUCCAAACUCCUACGGGAGGCAGCAGUGAGGAAUAUUGGUCAAUGGACGCGAGUCUGAACCAGCCAAGUAGCGUGAAGGAUGACUGCCCUAUGGGUUGUAAACUUCUUUUAUAUGGGAAUAAAGUUGUCCACGUGUGGAUUUUUGUAUGUACCAUAUGAAUAAGGAUCGGCUAACUCCGUGCCAGCAGCCGCGGUAAUACGGAGGAUCCGAGCGUUAUCCGGAUUUAUUGGGUUUAAAGGGAGCGUAGGCGGAUUGUUAAGUCAGUUGUGAAAGUUUGCGGCUCAACCGUAAAAUUGCAGUUGAUACUGGCAGUCUUGAGUGCAGUAGAGGUGGGCGGUAUUCGUGGUGUAGCG
rnacentral:rRNA from 1 species